rnacentral:rRNA from 1 species
UCUCCUGGAAACGGGUGGUAAUGCCGGAUGCUCCAGUUUUUCGCAUGGUUUGUCUGGAAAGCUUUCGCGGUAUGGGAUGGGGUCGCGUCCUAUCAGCUUGACGGCGGGGUAACGGCCCACCGUGGCUUCGACGGGUAGCCGGCCUGAGAGGGCGACCGGCCACAUUGGGACUGAGAUACGGCCCAGACUCCUACGGGAGGCAGCAGUGGGGAAUAUUGCACAAUGGGCGCAAGCCUGAUGCAGCGACGCCGCGUGAGGGAUGGAGGCCUUCGGGUUGUAAACCUCUUUUAUCGGGGAGCAAGCGAGAGUGAGUUUACCCGUUGAAUAAGCACCGGCUAACUACGUGCCAGCAGCCGCGGUAAUACGUAGGGUGCAAGCGUUAUCCGGAAUUAUUGGGCGUAAAGGGCUCGUAGGCGGUUCGUCGCGUCCGGUGUGAAAGUCCAUCGCUUAACGGUGGAUCCGCGCCGGGUACGGGCGGGCUUGAGUGCGGUAGGGGAGACUGGAAUUCCCGGUGUAACGGUGGAAUGUGUAGAUAUCGGGAAGAACACCA